AUUAAUUUUCCUUGGGAAAUUUCCCCUAAAGACUAGGCCUAAUUUCAAACCCUUAUUCACAAUGUAAGAAUAUGUUUUACAACCAUACACAAAUCUCUAUAAGCGGUGUCUGAUUCUAAAUGUAUUUCUACAAUUAAUGUUCAUACAGAACAAACAUGACUGGAUAAAAAAGAUCCUGGCAACAAGUCAAGAUAAAAUAUAAAUACAUUUUGCAGGCUGGUAAGUGCCUUAACAGUUUGUAAAUGGUAUGUAGAAAUUACUUACAAGAUGCCUGCUACAUAUUCUGCUACAGUCUGGUGGCAGGAGAGUAACUGUGUCGCUGGACACACAAGGCCUGCAAGUACCUUGUAUGAAGAGGGCAGUUUUUGCAGGUGGUCAGUAGCUGUCCCACCUUGAAUCCCUUCCAUCACAGGCCUUCCUUGGUUUAAAACACAGUUACUCUCCUGCCACCAGACAAAGAUCCAGUGAGUAUUAUUCAUUAAAAGCACAUGGCUUGGUACAUCCUGUCAACACAAAUUAUAUUCAAUAUGGCAGGGGGAAGGAACUUCUGCAGUAUAGGAAGGGGCUUCUGCAGCUGAUGAUGAGGAGACUGUGUCACUGUACUCCAGAAGGCCUGAGGAUCCAGACGCAGUAGGCUACAGCCUGACAGCCAGCCUGGCAACAUAGUAAGUAUGGGCUAAAGGAAAUCUAAAUCAUGCACAAUUCCUGCUGUGCUAAUCAAUGGGUGGUUUAUAGAAUUCACAAACUGUCAGAUGUCUCUACUCAACAUCUGAAAAAGCUAAUUGAGCUGGCAGAUGCACAGAUUGCUGUCAGUAAAGGUCUCCAGGAUCUAGACCUUGGUAUUGAAAUCAAGAAGAAAACACUGAGGAAACUGUAUCUGGAGAUAAAGAAA